CCCUUAGAUGUCCUGGGCCGCACGCGCGCUACACUGACAUGUUCAACAAGCCUCCUAGUUCGACAGGAUUUGGGAAAUCUUUGAACGCAUGUCGUGAUAGGGAUAGAUCAUUGCAAUUAUUGAUCUUGAACGAGGAAUUCCUAGUAAACGCGAGUCAUCAGCUCGCAUUGAUUACGUCCCUGCCCUUUGUACACACCGCCCGUCGCACCUACCGAUUGAAUGUUUCGGUGAAGAUUCCGGAUGGGACUUUUUUGAUUUAUUUCAAUUUUGUCUUAAAAGCUAUCUAAACCUCAACAUUUAGAGGAAGGUGAAGUCGUAACA
rnacentral:rRNA from 1 species